rnacentral:rRNA from 1 species
AGCGAACGCUGGCGGCGUGCCUAACACAUGCAAGUCGAACGGAUCCGGGGGGCAACCCUCGGGUUAGUGGCGAACGGGUGAGUAACACGUGGGUAAUCUCCCCCCGAGUGAGGGAUAAUCUUGCGAAAGCGGGUCUAAUACCGCAUGACGCUUCGGGACGUAAGUCUUCGAAGUUAAAGCCGUAAGGCGCUUGGGGAUGAGCCUGCGUCCUAUUAGCUAGUUGGUAGGGUAAUGGCCUACCAAGGCGAUGAUGGGUAGCCGGCCUGAGAGGGUGAUCGGCCACACUGGAACUGAGACACGGUCCAGACUCCUACGGGAGGCAGCAGUGAGGAAUUUUGCGCAAUGGGCGAAAGCCUGACGCAGCGACGCCGCGUGGAGGAAGACGGCCUUCGGGUUGUAAAGCUCUUUCGCAAGGGAAGAAAACUUAUCCUCUAACAUAGGAUGAGGUUGACGGUACCUUGAUAAGAAGCACCGGCUAACUACGUGCCAGCCGCCGCGGUAACAC